rnacentral:misc_RNA from 1 species
AAGACUAUAGACCUGCGGAGUACCUGCGGAAGGAUCAUUACAAGUGACCCCGGUCUAACCACCGGGAUGUUCAUAACCCUUUGUUGUCCGACUCUGUUGCCUCCGGGGCGACCCUGCCUUCGGGCGGGGGCUCCGGGUGGACACUUCAAACUCUUGCGUAACUUUGCAGUCUGAGUAAACUUAAUUAAUAAAUUAAAACUUUUAGCAACGGAUCUCU